rnacentral:rRNA from 1 species
GACGAACGCUGGCGGCGUGCUUAACACAUGCAAGUCGAACGGAAAGGCCCUGCUUUUGUGGGGUGCUCGAGUGGCGAACGGGUGAGUAACACGUGUGUAACCUGCCCUUGACUUUGGGAUAACUUCAGGAAACUGGGGCUAAUAUCGGACAGGAGCCCCUGCUGCAUGGUGGGGGUUGGAAAGUUUCGGCGGUUGGGGAUGGACUCGCGGCUUAUCAGCUUGUUGGUGGGGUAGUGGCUUACCAAGGCUUUGACGGGUAGCCGGCCUGAGAGGGUGACCGGCCACAUUGGGACUGAGAUACGGCCCAGACUCCUACGGGAGGCAGCAGUGGGGAAUAUUGCACAAUGGGCGGAAGCCUGAUGCAGCGACGCCGCGUGCGGGAUGACGGCCUUCGGGUUGUAAACCGCUUUCGCCUGUGACGAAGCGUGAGUGACGGUAAUGGGUAAAGAAGCACCGGCUAACUACGUG